rnacentral:rRNA from 1 species
UNUGCUGUGAAAGGCUGGGGCUUAACCCNGGUUUUGCAGUGGGUACGGGCUAACUAGAGUGCAGUAGGGGAGACUGGAAUUCCUGGUGUAGCGGUGGAAUGCGCAGAUAUCAGGAGGAACACCGAUGGCGAAGGCAGGUCUCUGGGCUGUAACUGACGCUGAGAAGCGAAAGCAUGGGGAGCGAACAGGAUUAGAUACCCUGGUAGUCCAUGCCGUAAACGUUGGGCACUAGGUGUGGGGGACAUUCCACGUUUUCCGCGCCGUAGCUAACGCAUUAAGUGCCCCGCCUGGGGAGUACGGCCGCAAGGCUAAAACUCAAAGAAAUUGACGGGGGCCCGCACAAGCGGCGGAGCAUGCGGAUUAAUUCGAUGCAACGCGAAGAACCUUACCAAGGCUUGACAUAUACUGGACUGCGUCAGAGAUGGCGUUUCCCUUCGGGGCUGGUAUACAGGUGGUGCAUGGUUGUCGUCAGCUCGUGUCGUGAGAUGUUGGGUUAAGUCCAGCAACGAGCGCAACCCUCGUUCUAUGUUGCCAGCACGUGAUGGUGGGGACUCAUAGGAGACUGCCGGGGUCAACUCGGAGGAAGGUGGGGAUGACGUCAAAUCAUCAUGCCCCUUAUGUCAUGGGCUUCACGCAUGCUACAAUGGCCGGUACAGAGGGUUGCGAUACUGUGAGGUGGAGCUAAUCCCUAAAAGCCGGUCUCAGUUCGGAUUGGGGUCUGCAACACGACCCCAUGAAGUCGGAGUCGCUAGUAAUCGCAGAUCAGCAACGCUGCGGUGAAUACGUUCCCGGGCCUUGUACACACCGCCCGUCAAGUCACGAAAGUUGGUAACACCCGAAGCCGGUGGCCUAACCCUGGUGGGGGGAGCCGUNGAG